AAAAAAAAAAAAAGUCUGAUUUUUCAUUUAUUCAUUCUGAAAUACUGAACACUUACUAUAUACCAGGCUCUCGGGUUGAUUCUGCGGAUACAGGGAUGAAACAGGCACGAUCCACUUUAGUAAAGAAAUGGAAAGUAUAUAGCCAAUGGCCACUCCUUCCUUUUUAUCCACGAUGUAUCAGAGAUAAUAGAUAAUCUCCAGCUGAGCCCAGCAUUUCUAUAGUAGCCUUCUCCAAGUACUUCUAGGCAGCUAAUGAGAUUAAUCAGUAACUGGUAAGACAAGCUCAUCUGCUCUCCCCAGUAGGAGAGACUCCUGCAGAAACAAAGAACUGCACAGAAUUGAAAUUGGUCUUCCUUCUGUAAGUGCUUUGGUGGAAUCUGCCUUGGCCAUUUGCCCCUACACAUUCCACCCUCUGCUCCCCACCAUUUAGUUUUUAGUUACUGUAUGAGCCCAGAAAAAUAGAUCCUUAAUUUUUUUUUCUGUUACAGUAGAUUUUUUGAGCUGUGUAAGGACCUUUUUAAUUCAUUUUCUGUCAACAGGACAUAUGAUGAAAUUCCAUGAUAAUCAGCCUGACUUCUCAGCAUUCACCACCAGCCCUUUAAUUCCAUCCUCACUGAAUCCUGGCAAAGUCUUCUGAGUGUACAGAGCUUUGAGCAGGUCUUAGAGCAGCCAGCCAGCAAGGUUCCUGUACUCCAAAUGACAUCAUAGGUCUCAUCUCUUUGUCUUUCCUUUCACAAGUUGUUCUGGGACUCUUCAGCUCUAGAGAAAGAGAUCCUGAAAAUUGUCCCCUACUUUUUCUUUCCUGGGGAGGGCUUCUUUGGAAAGGAGGGAUGGGGGAUGAGAGAACUUUGCAGGUAAUCGAAAAAUGAAUGGAGAGUGAAAUUAAAGGGCUGAUGUCCAGAGAGGCUUAAAAUUUACUCUGUCAUCAAAGAGAUGGUCUAUACUUAUCUGAGAGGAUUACGUAAAUACUGCACGUCAAGUGUUGAUUAUUGAGGGCCUGGCACAUGGUUGUUCUUGCUGUAUUAUAGGGUGUUUAUAGAGCAUCAAAUGUGUUAUGAUUUUUUUUUUAACGGCUGAGGAUAUAAAGACUAAUUGAUAUAGCUCUUGUCCUAGGGAUUUGCAGUUUAGCAAGAUCUGCAAGCCAAAAA